rnacentral:lncRNA from 1 species
AGAGUUUGAAUCCCAGGCUUUUCACUAGGCUGUGUUGCACUGUUAUUUUGCUCUAGGCCAUUAAAAUAAAAACUAUUCAAGAAGUCAGCUGCUGCUAUAAAGGUCAUCUGGAAAGUCCAGGGAAGGACCCUGAGCUGCUGCUGGGAAAGAGAAAUUGUCCUCUGGCUCGUGAGCUGUCAUGUUUGUCUGCUGAGUGGCUUCAGUGGUUUCAUCUGUUGCUGAAAGAGCCAAGAGAGAGGGAUAAAACGGGACUAUAAUCCAUACCACAAUGAGCGGGACGGGACCAGCAGCCCAGAAGAAGCAAAAGGAAUCUUAAUGAAUUGGAGACAAUUGGAGGUGGUUUAUAAGGAUGAAGUUCAAAGAGCCAGUGGCACUUAAGUGGCCAAAUAGCUUACAAGCACUUAUUAAGGUAAGCAAAGCCUCACUCAUUGCUUGUUGUCAGACAUCUGAUUCUAAUUAUGGGAGAGCUAGAUAAACGAUGAUGCUUGGGGUAGAUAGAAGCUGGUAUGCCUUUUCUAAGCUCAUUAGUGCUUACAGCUUGCCAGUUUACACAUACACACACAAGGGGUCUGAAAUAAAGACUAGUUUCUGUGUUGUUUGUGUCUGUAUUCUAGUGAUAAUCUUCUGCAGGGAUAAAUACAGCUUCAGAUGUAACCCUAGAUUAAAAAAGCAAAAAAUAAAAAAAAACCUAGCUUUCAGUUCACAUUUUCUCAAAUCACCCUCCAGCCCUAACCCCUGGAGUAUCACUGGAGCUGUAUUACUGUUAUUUCUCCCUAAAUCACACAAUCCCAUUUCUCUACCGUUUUUUGCUUUCCCUAACUGCACUCUAACCCCUGCCACAACAAGAUCAAAAACAACAUCAAGGAAAACCCCACAAAGGUUUUGUUUAAAUUCCCUUCUACCUCACUUUCCAUCAAAUAAAUUCCUUAGAAGUCAUAUCAUGAUUAAUAUUGUUAGUUUUCAGUAGAAUCAUUCCACUAAUUUCACAAAAAUAUGAAUCAUAAAGAUAGAAGAUUGAACAUUAUUUAUAUAUUCUUAUUUCUUCUACUUUUUAUGUUAGAAUCCUAAAAAACAAAAAUUGAUUUUUACUAAUGUGUCAUUGCUACAUAUGAAGCAUAUAUGAGAAAAUUUACUUAAAUUUAACUCAGUUUACAGUAGCCUCACCCAGCUUGCUAUUACUAUUAUCUUUCAAUAAUUUUUCUCCCCAGCUGCUAUCAGCUGCUACUUAAACCUAUGUGCUUAAUAAAUAGAGUUGGGGUGAUUUUCAUUUCUAUUUUCUUCUUUUCCAUAUUUUCAAAAAUUUUCAAGAGAUUUUGUGAUACUGAUCACCUCCUUGAACUGGGGAAAUAACCAGGAAAUACAUUCCACGUCUCAUUGCCUCUGAAUAACCACAUGCACAAGCAACCAUCGCUUAAGGAAGACUCAGAAUCCUAGGGACAACAGAUCAUGUGUGGUUACAGGCACCAUUUUAAAGAUCAGGCUAGCUCUGAGUUGCCAUGGCAAACUAUUUGAAAUAGUCUGCUCUACAGAUUCUGCCUGCUGUAUGGGGUUGUUUAUAUAGUCCAGUGUAAAUGAUAUCACUGGGAAACAACUAAGCUCCUAUUACAAUGACUAAAAUCAACAAGCAAUGACUUGCCAACAUAAUACUUGUUUAUUCUCAUCUUGGUAUGUGUUUCGUGGAAUACUCCUUACAAUUACCAUACACUUAAAAGGGGAAAUUUUACUGAAUGUAAAUUUUAGUUCAAAAAAAAAAAAAAAAAAAAAA